UACGUAGGGAGCGAGCGUUAUCCGGAUUCAUUGGGCGUAAAGCGCGCGUAGGCGGUUGUAUAAGCGGAACCUCUAAUCUUGGGGCCCAACCCUUAAGCCGGGUUCCGAACUGUACGACUCGAGUGUGGUAGGGGUAGAUGGAAUUCCCGGUGUAGCGGUGAAAUGCGCAGAUAUCGGGAAGAACACCGAUGGCGAAGGCAGUCUACUGGGCCAUCACUGACGCUGAGGUGCGAAAGCGUGGGGAG
rnacentral:rRNA from 1 species